rnacentral:rRNA from 1 species
UACGUAGGGGGCGAGCGUUGUCCGGAAUCAUUGGGCGUAAAGCGCGUGUAGGCGGCCCGGUAAGUCCGCUGUGAAAGUCCAGGGCUCAACCCUGGGAUGCCGGUGGAUACUGUCGGGCUCGAGUCCGGAAGAGGCGAGUGGAAUUCCUGGUGUAGCGGUGAAAUGCGUAGAGAUCAGCAGGAAUACCCGUGGCGAAGGCGGCCCCCUGGGCCGUACCUGACGCUGAGGCGCGAAGGCUAGGGGAGCGAACGGG